rnacentral:rRNA from 1 species
GAUGAACGCUGGCGGCGUGCCUAAUACAUGCAAGUCGAGCGAAUUGACAGAGGUGCUUGCACCUCUCGAUUUUAGCGGCGGACGGGUGAGUAACACGUGGGUAACCUACCUAUAAGACUGGGAUAACUUCGGGAAACCGGAGCUAAUACCGGAUAAUAUUUAGCUUCGCAUGAAGCAAUAGUGAAAGACGGUUCUGCUGUCACUUCUAGAUGGACCUGCGGUGUAUUAGCUAGUUGGUGAGGUAACGGCUCACAAAGGCAACGAUACAUAGCCGACCUGAGAGGGUGAUCGGCCACACUGGGACUGGGACACGGCCCAGACUCCUACGGGAGGCAGCAGUAGGGAAUCUUCCGCAAUGGACGAAAGUCUGACGGAGCAACGCCGCGUGAGUGAAGAAGGUUUUCGGAUCGUAAAACUCUGUUGUAAGGGAAGAACAAGUACGUUAGUAACUGAACGUACCUUGACGGUACCUUACCAGAAAGCCACGGCUAACUACGUGCCAGCAGCCGCCGUAAAAC